rnacentral:rRNA from 1 species
UACCAGCACCCCGAGUGGUCGGGACGUUUUAUUGGGCCUAAAGCAUCCGUAGCCGGUUCUACGAGUCUUCCGUUAAAUCCAACUGCUUAACAGGUGGGCUGCGGAAGAUACUAUAGAGCUAGGAGGCGGGAGAGGCAAGCGGUACUCGAUGGGUAGGGGUAAAAUCCGUUGAUCCAUUGAAGACCACCAGUGGCGAAGGCGGCUUGCCAGAAUGCGCUCGACGGUGAGGGAUGAAAGCUGGGGGAGCAAAGCCGG